rnacentral:rRNA from 1 species
UACAGAGGUCCCAAGCGUUGUUCGGAUUCAUUGGGCGUAAAGGGUGCGUAGGCGGCGCGGUAAGUCGGGUGUGAAAUCUCGGAGCUUAACUCCGAAACUGCAUUCGAUACUGCCGUGCUUGAGGACUGGAGAGGAGACUGGAAUUUACGGUGUAGCGGUGAAAUGCGUAGAUAUCGUAAGGAAGACCAGUGGCGAAGGCGGGUCUCUGGACAGUUCCUGACGCUGAGGCACGAAUGCCAGGGGAGCAAACGGG